GGGCACGACACCGGAGAGGGAGCCUGAGAAACGGCUACCACAUCCAAGGAAGGCAGCAGGCGCGCAAAUUACCCAAUCCCGACACGGGGAGGUAGUGACAAUAAAUAACAAUACAGGGUUCUUUUGGAUCUUGUAAUUGGAAUGAGUACAAUUUAAAUCUCUUAACGAGGAACAAUUGGAGGGCAAGUCUGGUGCCAGCAGCCGCGGUAAUUCCAGCUCCAAUAGCGUAUAUUAAAGUUGUUGCAGUUAAAAAGCUCGUAGUUGAAUUUCGGAAUCAAUGUUUCGGUCAUGCCGUUGGUAUGUACUGAUAUUAUUGAUUUCUCACCUUCUAAAGAACCGUAAUGCCAUUAAUUUGGUGUCACGGGGAAUUAGGACUGUUACCUUGAAAAAAUUAGAGUGUUUAAAGCAGGCUCACGCUUGAAUACAUUAGCAUGGAAUAAUGAAAUAGGACAUCCGAUUCUAUUUUGUUGGUUUCUAGGAUCGAUGUAAUGAUUAAUAGGGAUAGUUGGGGGCAUUAGUAUUCAAUUGUCAGAGGUGAAAUUCUUGGAUUUAUUGAAGACUAACUACUGCGAAAGCAUUUGCCAAGGAUGUUUUCAUUAAUCAAGAACGAAAGUUAGGGGAUCGAAGACGAUCAGAUACCGUCGUAGUCUUAACCAUAAACUAUGCCGACUAGGGAUCGGAUGAUGUUAAUUUUUUAAUGACUCAUUCGGCGCCUUACGGGAAACCAA
rnacentral:rRNA from 1 species